rnacentral:rRNA from 2 species
CCUACGGGAGGCAGCAGUGGGGAAUAUUGCACAAUGGGCGCAAGCCUGAUGCAGCCAUGCCGCGUGUAUGAAGAAGGCCUUCGGGUUGUAAAGUACUUUCAGCGAGGAGGAAGGCGUUAAGGUUAAUAACCUUGGCGAUUGACGUUACUCGCAGAAGAAGCACCGGCUAACUCCGUGCCAGCAGCCGCGGUAAU